rnacentral:rRNA from 1 species
CGUGGCCAACCUGCCCUUGGGACGGAAGCACCCCCGGGAAACUGGGGCUAAUUUCCGAUAGGGGAAGACUCCUGGAAUGGAUUUUCGCCUAAAAGGCGCUUAGAGCAUGCUUCUAGGUGUUGCCCAAGGAUGGGGCCGCGGCCGAUCAGGUUGUUGGUGAGGUAACGGCUCACCAAGCCUUUAACCGGUGCGGGCCGUGGGAGCGGGAGCCCGGAGAUGGGCACUGAGACAAGGGCCCAGGCCCUACGGGGCGCAGCAGUCGCGAAAACUUCGCAAUAAGCGAAAGCUUGACGGGGCUAUCCCGAGUGCCAUCCGCUGAGGAUGGCUUUUCCCUAGUAUAGAUAGCUGGGGGAAAAAGGAGAGGGCAAGUCUGGUGUCAGCCGCCGCGGUAAUACCAGCUCCCCGAGUGGUGGGGAUGAUUAUUGGGCCUAAAGCAUCCGUAGCCGGCUGGGCAAGUCCCCUGUUAAACCCAGCGAUCUAAUCGUUGGCCUGCGGGGGAUACUGCUUGGCUAGGGGGCGAGAGAGGCCGUCGGUAUUCCCGGGGUAGGGGUGAAAUCCUAUAAUCCCGGGAGGACCACCAGUGGCGAAGGCUGUCGGCUAGAACGCGCCCGACGGUGAGGGAUGAAAGCUGGGGGAGCGAACCGGAUUAGAUACCCGGGUAGUCCCAGCUGU